UGACGUCGAGUGGCCCAACAGGCAGAGCCAUCGCCAACCACCUGUGCGGGAACAACCUGCCCGCCUGCCGCAGGGCAGCACCGGAGCGGCCCCUGCCAGGCUGGACAGCCGCCGGGCUCAGCUACCCCCGCCUCGGCCCCCGCGGCCCACCGGCCUGGGCUCCGCAUCCCGGGGGAUGAGCGACGGGCCCAGCGGCCCCCGGCCCCAGCGGGCAUCGACGCCGCCCCCCCGUCCUCCUCCACCAUCCUUCAAGGGGCAGAAGGAACCCGCCCGGGGCGGAGGCUUGCGGUCAUCGGCCGGCACCCAAACAAUUGCUCCCUGGCAGAUGAGCGACAGGCCCAGCAGCCCCCGGUCCCAGCGGGCAUCGACGCCGCCCCCCCGUCCCCCACCACCAUCCUUCAGGGGACGGGAGCGGUCCCCUCAGCGUGUCGGCUCGGGGGCAUCGUCCGGCACCCGGACAGCCGCUGCCUCGGGGAAGCCCAGCAGCCCCCAGCCCCCCCCAGCACCACCUCUGCCCUCCCCCUCCUCUCCGCCAUCCUUUAGGAGGUGGGAGCAACCCCCCCAAGGUGGCAGCUCGGGGGCAUCAUCAGACACCUGGAAAACCACAGCCACUGGGAAACAGUCCAGGUCCAGCAGCCCCCAGCCCCCCCCGGCCCCACCUCUGCCCUCCCCUCCACCAUCGGUCAGGGAAUGGAAGCGAUCCCCGCAGAGUGCAGACUCGGGGAAACUGUCCGACAGGACAGCCGCUGCCUGGGGGAAGCGCCACCGGCCUGGCAGCCCCCUGCCUCGCCAGGCACGGUCACCACCUUCCCGUUCCCCUCCACGAUCCUUCAGGGGACGGGAGUGGUCCCCUCAGGCACCCCGACUGCCCUCCCCCUCUUCUCCAGCAUCCCUUAGGAGGCGGGAGCAGCCCCCCCAGGGUGGCAGCUCGGGGGCAUCAUCAGGCACCUGGAAAACCGCUGCCACGGGGAAACAGACCAGGCGCAGCAGCCCCCAGCCCCUCCCAGCACCACCUUUGCCUUCCCCCUCCCCUCCACCAUCUGUCAGAGGGUGGCAGAAAUCCCCACAGAGUGCAGACUCGGGGAAACUGUCCGACAGGACAGCCGCUGCCUGGGGGAAGCGCCACCGGCCCGGCAGCCCCCCGCCUCGCCAGGCACGGUCACCACCUUCCCGUUCCCCUCCACGAUCUUUCAGGGGACUUGAGUUGCCUUCUCAGGCACCCCCACUGCCCUCCUCCUCCCCUGCACCAUCUUUCAAAGGACGGCCGUGGCUGCCCCAGCAUGACAGGCCUGGCCGCCCCAGGUCCCCCCAGGCCUCCCCGCUGCCCUCCCCCUCCUCCCCACCAUCUUUUAGGAGGUGGGAGCAGCACCCCCAGGGUCUUGGCCUGGGGCAGUUAUCCAGCAGACCUGCAACUGCCGCCUGGAGGAAGCAUGAGCGGUCCAGCAGCCCACAGCCUCCCCGGGUACCAUCCUCCCCGUCCCCUCAGCCAUCUUUCAGGCGGUGGGAGUGGCUCCCCAGGAAUGUCAACUCAGGGGCUUCCUCAGAAAACUGGAAUUCCACUGCCAGGGGGAAACAGACCUGGUCCAGCAGCCCCCAGCAGCCCCAAGCACAGCAUCUGCCCUACCGC
rnacentral:lncRNA from 1 species